CCUACAAUCUCUUUCUCUCAUAAAUAAAACGAAGCAAACAACACAAACGGCCCUUUCUCUCUCCUGCUCUCAGUCGAGUAGAGAGUAUCUCGGACACGCACGUGCGGCGCACGCAUGACAUACGUGCGGCGACGAUGCCAGCCUCAGCUUCGUCUCACCGGCCGGAGGCCCUAAUUGCCCGGCUGAGCACCGCCGACGGCGAGGCCAAGCUCAGGGCCCUCAGAGAGCUCAAGAACCAGAUCAUAGGCAAUCGCACCAAGAAGCUAUCCUACAUCAAGCUCGGUGCCGUCCCUGCCGUCGUCGCGGCCCUCUCCGCCGCAUCCGCCGGUGGUGACACCGACGCCGAAGCCGGCGUCUCUCUCCUCGUGCAGUCCGCUGCUGCCCUCGGCAGCUUCGCCUGCGGCGUAGAUGUUGGCGUCAAGGCCGUUCUCGACGCUGGCGCUUUUCCACGCCUUUUGCAGCUCAUUUCCCAUCCUAACGACAAGGUUGUGGAUGCUAGUGCACGUUCGCUUCGAAUGAUUUAUCAAUCGAAAUUGGCUCCAAAGUAUGAUUUUCUACAAGGGAAAAAUGUGGAAUUUCUUAUUUCAUUAUUGAAUAGUGCGAAUGAAAAUCUUGUUGGACUUGGUGUAAGCAUCAUAACACAUUCUUGUCAGACAAGCACUGAGCAGAAAGCAUUGUGCGAUGCUGGGGCUUUAAAGAAGCUUAUUAGUCUUCUUGAAGGUUCUUUAAAUCAGAGAGAUGCUACUUUAGAGUCUCUAGCUAUAAUUAUCAAGAACAAUGCUGAAGUCAUUUCAAACUUUGUUGAACCUGAAAGUGGAAGAGCCUUGAAUGCUGUAACUGAGUUAACAAAAGAUCGGUAUCCCCGGACAAGAUUACUUGCCUGCAUAUGCCUGAUUGUCAUAAGGAACUCCUCUCCUUGCUAUCUGCAAGAUGUAGGAAUCAAAACUAAAUUGAUACUGAUAUUGCUUGAGCUUCUUGAUGAUCCUAGUCAAGUUGGAGAUGAAGCUUGCUUUGCUUUGUCCUCUUUGAUUGCUGAAAAGGAGGAUUUACAGAAACUAGCAUUUGAGGCAGAUGCUGUUGAUAAACUUGGCAAACAUUUGGAGCGGGACCUGUUGCAGCCUAAACGCAUCCAAGGAAUAUUGCUUGCGUUGGCUGAUCUAUGCUUGAAGUUGGAAUGCUGCAGGUCUAGGCUCUUACAAUUGCAGGUCUUGAACUUGGUCACUGAUGCACUUACGCACAAUAGUGCUGAAGUACGUGUUGCUGCUUGCAUCUGCUUAAAAAGUGUCUCGCGGUCAGUUAAGAAUUUAAGUGCAGGUCAUUUUAUGACUGAAACGAUUGUCAUGCCCUUGGUUCAGCUUUUACAUGACCCUUCAACUUCUGUGCAGGUUGCAGCUCUUGGUGCCAUUAGCAACAUAGUGGUUGAUUUUACGCCGCACAAGUCAACUUUUGUACAAUGUGGAGGUGUUAAACAGCUUGCUCUUUUAUCAGAAUCAAUGGAUUUUACUAUAAGGUCAAGUGCUAUAUGGGCUUUGAGGAACUUGGUAUUCCUUGCUGGCAAACGGUGUAAAGAAGGGAUUUUUUUGGAGCUUAAAGUAUCCUCAUUGGCAAGCCUUAUAUGUGACCCUGAGCCCUCGGUCCAAGAACAAGCUUUGGCUUUUGUUCGCAAUCUUGUUGAUGGAUGCAUUGACUCUGUCGAGUAUGUGUUUGCUGAAGAUGGUAUUAUCUUACAUGCUGUUGGGAGGCAAUUACAGAGUGCUGAGAAGGCUGAAGUUGGGAUUCAGGGUAUGUAUGUGCUCAGCAAUGUGGCAACUGGUAAUGAGUUUCAUAAAGAAGCUGUAAUGCACCAAAUCCUUGCACAAGCAGGCAAUAGCUCCCAAUCUGUUAUGCUCAAAUUUUUGCAGAGCAACGACAGCCAGUUACGUACGGCUGCAAUCUGGGCAAUAGUGAAUCUCAUUUUUCCUUGCAGUCCUGGCGCAUUUAGUCGACUUGUAAAACUACGUGAUGCUGGCAUAGUCUCCCAAAUAAAGAAUAUGAUUGAAGAUCCAUGCCUGGAUGUAAAGCUUCGUGCAAGAACAGUCCUUGGGCAGUCUAUGACAUUUGGCAGUGGCUCAUAGUGAUAAUUUUUGUAUCAUCCACUGAAUCCAAAAGACAACAACGAGAAUUGGAUGCAGAUUGAACUUUUUUGCUUCACCGACAACAUGGAUAAUUUUUGGACGUCAAAGUCGAAAUUAAAAUUCACGUGAAUGAGCCAUGUUCGUGGAGAGUUGUGUACGUAAGUUGGAGUUCAAAUCAAGGGCAUGUACAUCGAAGACAAGACCGUGAGCGUCCAAGGUUUUCUUGGAUAUUUAAAGAAUAUUCUUUUGAAAAUUAAAGCCGAACCAUGCCAUGCAACAUUAAAUGAGAUGGGCCUUGUGUGUUAAGAGAGCUGGCAACCGUGUGAGCUGAGAUGGGCUGCAAGGAUGAGAAGAAAGGCCAGACUGGGCCGGGUGGGAAGUGGAGGCAUGCUUCUCGGAUUGCACAAGCCAUGUACGCACGCGCUGGGGUUUUAGGGCUUCAUUUGGGGAGUUUUAAAAAGUCUUUUUGGGCCUCUCUACCUCGGGCAUCUCAGCGCCUCAAUUCUCAUUCUCACCCCUUCUACUCUCUGUCUCAACUCUCUCCUUCCCUCUUCCCUUCUCUCCCCCUCUCUCUCUUUUGUUUUCCUUCAACUCUAUCUCAGCCUUUCCUUCUCCUCUUCUCUAGUCUCUGUCUCUCUCCCUCUCUGUCUCGCUUUCUCUCCUCUCUGCUCGGCCUCUCUGUAAGUCUCUCAGCUUACUCUCGGUUUUUUUUUUUGCUGCAACUCGUGCUGCCCCUGCUGUGCUAAUAACCCCACGAACCCGAGAGCUUUGCCUUGCAGUUGCAACUGCCUUCAACUGCUCCGAGUGCUACUGCUGCUCCUGCUGUGGCAGCCGUCUCUCUCUCCCUCUCUCUCUCUCUCUCUCUCUCUCUCUCUUCUUUCUUUCUUAUUUUGAAUCUUGAACAAUUGUUGGAACUAUUUUUUUUUCUAUUAUUAAAAAGUCAGUCUUUUUAAUCUCUUUCAUCUCAAAUUUUUUUUUCAUUGGCUUUUAUUUUUAAUUCUCUUUAUUGAAGGUUUCAUUAAAGUCUAAAUUUUUAAUUAGUUUUGUUCUUGUUUGAAUUAAUUAUUGUCUUAAGUUUAGGGCUUGAUUAAUUUUGUGCUUAUUAGUAAAGAUAGUUUUUUUUAGUAUUCAGUAAUUUGUUGAAUUUUAAUUUUGUCCGUUCUCCAUAUUAAAACUAGUAUCUUUAUUUAGUGAACUUCAAUUAGUGUUUAGCACAUUUAAUGUUUAUUUAGUUGAAUGUUGUAGGUCUAUUUCUCUCAUUAUUUUGUGUUGAUUCUGGUUUCUAUUUAGUUAUUUUACACGUGUUAAAUCUUUUACAUUGUUUUAAAUUUUAUUGUAAAAAUCUCAAAAAUUCUAAGAACUUGAAUCUUAACUGUGUUCAGUAAACUUUUCGUUUAUUAUUUUCUUUUGGAAUUACACUAAAUUUGAAAUUAGAUUGCAUUCCCUAAGGAGACGAUCUGAUCCUUGAGCUAAUUAUUACACGAUUGAACUCCUGUACUUAGGAUAACUUCCGAACUGCUCAUUUUUCGAGUGAGUCAGUGUUAACACUUCCAAUUCCCUCUUGGUUGCCACUGCGAACACUAUUUAGCGCUGCACUACCGCUUCUACAUUCAAUCGCAACCAAUGUUCUAGUCUUGGUUCCUAUGAUCAGCGUCGCCCCAACUCUAGUUGCUAUAAUCAUAGGGAGCAGUCUAAUAAGCCUCAUAUUAUUUAUUAGCUGUGUGACAAAGUGGGCCACUUGGCCAAGAUUUGUCACUCGGCUUCAGGAGUGAAGUCUGUAAAUUGUGCCACUACCAACGCGUCCACCGACAAAAAAUGGCUUGUGGAUUCUACUGCUUCUCACAACAUCACCUUUGAUCUUACCAAUCUCUUUGUUCACUUGGAGUAUGAUGGCACGAAUGAGGUCGUCAUUGGCAAUGACUCAGGAUCGGAGCAUGGGGGCGACUCUUCUUCGCGGUAAAUUUCAGGAUGGUGUCUAUCCAAUGCCGAUGACGUCUUCCGUUAACAAGUCUUUUAUUUUAGCACUUGUUGGUGAACGAACAACAUCUGACACCUAGCAUAGACGACUUGAGCAUCCAUCAAAUAAAGUGGUUGAUUUUGUUAUUCGUACUUUUUCCCUUCCAGUUGUAGUGUCUCAUGUUUUUUCAUCGUCUAUUUGUAAUGCUUGUCAAUGCAAUAAAAGUCACAAGUUGCCUUUCUCUUCCACUUGUUUUGUUAGUACUCAUCCACUUGAAUACAUUUAUACUGAUGUUUGGGGGCCUACGACUUCCACUUCACUCAAUAGGUUUUGAUUUUAUGUAUUGUUUGUUGAUCACU